GACGCUGGCGGCGUGCCUAACACAUGCAAGUCGAGCGAGUGAAUCUCCUUCGGGAGUGAAGCUAGCGGCGGACGGGUGAGUAACACGUGGGCAACCUGCCUCAUAGAGGGGAAUAGCCUUUCGAAAGGAAGAUUAAUACCGCAUAAGAUUGUAGCUUCGCAUGAAGUAGCAAUUAAAGGGAGCAAUCCCGCUAUGAGAUGGGCCCGCGGCGCAUUAGCUAGUUGGUGAGGUAACGGCUCACCAAGGCGACGAUGCGUAGCCGACCUGAGAGGGUGAUCGGCCACAUUGGGACUGAGACACGGCCCAGACUCCUACGGGAGGCAGCAGGUGGGGAAUAUUGCACAAUGGGGGAAACCCUGAUGCAGCAACGCCGCGUGAGUGAUGACGGCCUUCGGGUUGUAAAGCUCUGUCUUCAGGGACGAUAAUGACGGUACCUGAGGAGGAAGCCACGGCUAACUACGUG
rnacentral:rRNA from 1 species